GUGAACGCUGGCGGUAGGCCUAACACAUGCAAGUCGAACGGCAGCACAGUAAGAGCUUGCUCUUACGGGUGGCGAGUGGCGGACGGGUGAGGAAUACAUCGGAAUCUACUUUUUCGUGGGGGAUAACGUAGGGAAACUUACGCUAAUACCGCAUACGACCUACGGGUGAAAGCAGGGGAUCUUCGGACCUUGCGCGAUUGAAUGAGCCGAUGUCGGAUUAGCUAGUUGGCGGGGUAAAGGCCCACCAGGGCGACGAUCCGUAGCUGGUCUGAGAGGAUGAUCAGCCACACUGGAACUGAGACACGGUCCAGACUCCUACGGGAGGCAGCAGUGGGGAAUAUUGGACAAUGGGCGCAAGCCUGAUCCAGCCAUACCGCGUGGGUGAAGAAGGCCUUCGGGUUGUAAAGCCCUUUUGUUGGGAAAGAAAAGCAGCAGGUUAAUACCCCGCUGUUCUGACGGUACCCAAAGAAUAAGCACCGGCUAACUUCGUG
rnacentral:rRNA from 1 species